GAAAACAAAAAUUUUAAGUUCAUUAGAACACAUUCAUUCUGUGUCAGAAACCUAUGCUGUGUCAACUAUUUAAUCACAAUCCAAAUUUAGAGCUGAAUCCAGCUUGAAUGUUGUGUCCAACUGUCCAUACUUGCCCCAACCGUUCAGGGUUCAACCUCUGCGGUCGUAUAAAGCUACGCCCUGCGGAGCAUCUGGUUUGUUUGUGCUUUAGUAAUUGAAUUCCCUUGCAUGAUUUAAAUUUAUUUCCCUACUUAUCCAUUCUUUCAAAGUUCAUUAAGUUUACGAGUAUUGUGAUACAAUGUUUUGAGAUCCCUUCCCCAAUAUGUAAACAAUCUUCAAAACAGCAACAUACUAUGAAUUUUGAAUGUCUUCAAUAAAUAGUAUGGAAAUUAUAAUGAUAUUCUGUAGUUUUGUGCAGCAAUUGACGAUUGAAGAAAAAGUAAAUUUAAUCCAAUGAAUUACAUAAACUGGAUUGUGGCAUCAGUUGUUUCCAAAUCCUUGCUACUAGAGGAUGAACACAUUAAACAAAAACUAAUCUGUUAUCACUCAUGAUGUCUUAUUGAUUGUUGAUUCAUUAACAAAUUGCAAUGAUCAAGAUAAAGAGAUUCACUGCAGUUAUAAAUUGCCUGAAGUAAAUAGCUCCUGUGAAGUGGGAGGCAUACAGUUUUAUCCUCGUACAUAUGUCCAGAAAUUGGUUUCCGUCUCUGAAGUUUGCAAUGACCAAAUGUUAUGUUGCUUAAACACCAUGCUUAUUUCCACUGAACUCAGAUCAGGAUCAAAUUAAUAUGCCAUUACUUUCACUGUUCUCAAGUUAUGUUGACUGUCCCUCUGGUAUCUUUUGUCCCUCUUUUAUGUCACUUGAUAAAUUAAAGAAAUGCUGAACUUGCUGUUUCUGUACUUUGACUUUCUUCUUCACAACCAAAUGUGAUAAAACUUUACACAAUGUUUGUUACCAUCAAACACAGAUCAAUUCAUAAUUUGGGGUGGCUUCACCUUGCUUGAGUUGAGUCCCUCUUUAAAUGGAAAAAUUGCGUAGUUUGCUGUUUUGUCUCUCUAACUUUUCUUUUCUUGUACCAAAUUUUGUGAAACUGAAGCUCAAUGGUAACUACCACCAAACACAGAUGGAGUUCAAAUUUGAUGGCAUCACAUUACCUACUUUUUUUGUCUUUUUGUAAUGUAGGAAAAAUGCAUACUCAACAUAAUGUUAUGAACCUGAUACACAAUGCUUAUAACCUACUUAACACAGAUCAAUUUUAACACAUGGCAAUUUCGAAUUUGGAUGGCCUUACAUAACCUACAUUUUGUCCUUUAAGCAAUUGAAAGAUUAAAACAUUUGCAGUUUCCACAUCAUACAAUUGUUAUUUACUUAAAAUAAAAAG
rnacentral:lncRNA from 1 species